GACGAACCGUGCGAACGUUGUUCGGAUUCACUGGGCUUAAAGGGCGCGUAGGCGGGCGGUCAAGUCGGGGGUGAAAUCUUUCAGCUUAACUGGAAAAGUGCCUCCGAUACUGAUCGCCUCGAGGGAGGUAGGGGCAUGUGGAACUUCCGGUGGAGCGGUGAAAUGCGUAGAUAUCGGAAGGAACGCCGGUGGCGAAAGCGACGUGCUGGACCUCUUCUGACGCUGAGGCGCGAAAGCUAGGGGAGCAAACGGG
rnacentral:rRNA from 1 species